AUCCUUCUGUAGUUCAUAAGCGUGAUGACUGGGCUUUCACUUCUGUGUGAGAUGUGCCUCCUUCACACCUUGUUACAUCAGGACAUUACCCAUCUGACG
rfam:Nomascus leucogenys chromosome 9, whole genome shotgun sequence.